rnacentral:lncRNA from 1 species
CGAUCAGAAGGCGGGUCAUCAACAAAUGCUCUGAUUCCAACCGACAGGCUGCUGCAGCUCAACAUACUCGUAAUGUUUCUGGAAAAUAGUAUCCGCCAGCUAUAUCGAAGAUGAGGGAAUAAAGAGACCACGUGCAUCAUCUCUACACACCCAGCACCCAGGAAUGUCUGAUUUCUCUGUUCUGCAACCAGCGUUAUGCAUGCCCCUCUGAACUCAAAAAGAUCCUGGCUUCUGCAUCCAGCCCCAUUUGGUCCACAACUCUACCCCAGGCCCGCUCUCUCCCUCAGCCAAGUGGAGUCCCUACAAAACGUGGUGCACAACUGGAGACAGGACAACGAUUUCACCUGAUACCACGUGACGACGAGCUGAAGCACACGCAUUUUAAAAGUGAGUUUUUUAUUAGAGUAGCCUCU